GGGGGGGGGGGGGGGGGGGGGGAGGGGGUGCAAGGCGGGCGGGGAGGCGCGGGGGUUGUGGGGGGCGCGAGUGGCGAACGGGUGAGUAACACGUGGGUAACCUGCCCUUGACUGUGGGAUAGCUUCAGGAGACUGGGGCUAAUACAGGAUAGGAGCUCCUGCUGCAUGGUGGGGGUUGGAAAGUUUCGGCGGUUGGGGCUGGACUCGCGGCUUAUCAGCUUGUUGGUGGGGUAGUGGCUUACCAAGGCUUUGACGGGUAGCCUGCAUGAGAGGGUGACCGGCCACAUGGGGACUGAGAUACGGACCAGACUCCUACGGGAGGCAGCAGUGGGGAAUAUUGCACAAUGGGCGGACGCCUGAUGCAGCACCGCCGCGUGCGGGAUGACGGCCUUCGGGUUGUAAACCGCUUUCGCCUGUGACGAAGCGUGAGUGACGGUAAUGGGUAAAGAAGCACCGGCUAACUACGUG
rnacentral:rRNA from 1 species